AAUUCACAUGGAAUAAGAAAUAUGAGUAAAACUACCACAAGUGGGAGGGGCUAAUCCAUUCACCCACCGCCUGACCCUGCCCCUGA